rnacentral:rRNA from 1 species
AGAUUGAACGCUGGCGGCGUGCCUAACACAUGCAAGUCGAGCGGUAACAGGUGUAGCAAUACAUGCUGACGAGCGGCGAACGGGUGAGUAAUGCUUUGGAAUCUUCCCAGUAGUGGGGAAUAACCAGUCGAAAGAUUGGCUAAUACCGCAUACGUCUGUAAAGGGAAAGCGGGGGCUCGUAAGACCUCGCGCUAUUGGAUGAGCCAAAGUCGGAUUAGCUAGUUGGUGGGGUAAUGGCCUACCAAGGCGACAAUCCGUAGCUGGUCUGAGAGGACGACCAGCCACACCGGAACUGAGACACGGUCCGGACUCCUACGGGAGGCAGCAGUGGGGAAUAUUGGACAAUGGGGGAAACCCUGAUCCAGCGACGCCGCGUGUGUGAAGAGGCCUGCGGGUUGUAAAGCACUUUUAGUGGGGACAAAAAAGGCUAACGGAUUAAUACUCUGUGGUCUUGAUUUAACCCAAAGAAAAGCACCGGCUAACUCUGCGCCAGCAGCCGCGGU